rnacentral:rRNA from 1 species
AUUGAACGCUGGCGGCAGGCCUAACACAUGCAAGUCGAACGAGUGGCGGACGGGUGAGUAAUGUCUGGGAAACUGCCCGAUGGAGGGGGAUAACUACUGGAAACGGUAGCUAAUACCGCAUACCAUCGGAUGUGCACAGAUGGGAUUAGCUAGUAGGUGGGGUAACGGCUCACCUAGGCGACGAUCCCUAGCUGGUCUGAGAGGAUGAACAGCCACAUUGGGACUGAGACACGGGCCAGCCUCCUACGUGAGGCAGCAGGUGGGAAUAUGGCAAAAUGGGCGCAAGCCGGAUGCAGCCAUGCCGCGUGUAUGAAGAAGGCCUUCGGGUUGUAAAGUACUUUCAGCGAGGAGGCGUUACUCGCAGAAGAAGCACCGGCUAACUCCGUGCCAGCAGCCGCGGUAAUUC